ensembl:lncRNA
UAAAAGUAAUGGAAAAAACUUUUUGAAAAAUUCCGCAUCUGAAAAAAAUCCCAAAAUAUUUUGCAAAAAGUCAUGAAAUUCUAUCUUUAGUCAUAUGAAGGGGCACGACGGUGAGAAAACGUACAUUUGAAUAAAAAUAUGAAUUUUUUUGAAAUUGGAGUCAUAAGACAUUCUAACAGCAGCAGUUGACACGGUACAGUGGUGUAGUGGUUAGCACUGUCGCCUCCCAGACAGAUGCCUCGGGUUCAACUCCACCCAGUGGCGCCUCUGUGUUAGGUGGUGUAGGCUAAGCCUGCAUUGGGUUCACUCCAUACUUGUAAAAGUAAUGGAAAAAACUUUUUUUAAACUUCCACGUCUGAAAAGAAUCCCAAAAUAUUUUGCAAAAAGUCAUGAAAUUCUAUCUUUCGUCAUAUGAAGGGGCACGACGGUGAGAAAACGUACAUUUGAAUAAAAAUAUGAAUUUUUUUAAAAUUGGAGUCAUAAGACAUUCUAACGGCAGCAGUUGACACGGUACAGUGGUGUAGUGGUUAGCACUGUCGCCUCCCAGACAGAUGCCUCGGGUUCAACUCCACCCAGUGGCGCCUCUGUGUUAGGUGGUGUAGGCUAAACCUGCAUGGGGUUCACUCCAUACUUGUAAAAGUAAUGGAAAAAACUUUUUGAAAAAUUCCGCAUCUGAAAAAAAUCCCAAAAUAUUUUGCAAAAAGUCAUGAAAUUCUAUCUUUAGUCAUAUGAAGGGGCACGACGGUGAGAAAACGUACAUUUGAAUAAAAAUCUGAAUUUUUUCGAAAUUGGAGUCAUAAGACAUUCUAACGGCAGCAGUUGACACGGUACAGUGGUGUAGUGGUUAGCACUGUCGCCUCCCAGACAGAUGCCUCGGGUUCAACUCCACCCAGUGGCGCCUCUGUGUUAGGUGGUGUAGGCUAAGCCUGCAUUGGGUUCACUCCAUACUUGUAAAAGUAAUGGAAAAAACUUUUUGAAAAAUUCCGCAUCUGAAAAAAAUCCCAAAAUAUUUUGCAAAAAGUCAUGAAAUUCUAUCUUUAGUCAUAUGAAGGGGCACGACGGUGAGAAAACGUACAUUUGAAUAAAAAUAUGAUUUUUUUCGAAAUUGGAGUCAUAAGACAUUCUAACGGCAGCAGUUGACACGGUACAGUGGUGUAGUGGUUAGCACUCUCGCCUCCCAGACAGAUGCCUCGGGUUCAACUGCACCCAGUGGCGCCUCUGUGUUAGGUGGUGUAGGCUAAACCUGCAUGGGGUUCACUCCAUACUUGUAAAAGUAAUGGAAUUUUUUUAUUAGACUUCCACGUCUGAAAAGAAUCCCAAAAUAUUUUGCAAAAAGUCAUGAAAUUCUAUCUUUAGUCAUAUGAAGGGGCACGACGGUGAGAAAACGUACAUUUGAAUAAAAAUAUGAAUUUUUUCGAAAUGGGAGUCAUAAGACAUUCUAACGGCAGCAGUUGACACGGUACAGUGGUGUAGUGGUUAGCACUCUCGCCUCCCAGACAGAUGCCUCGGGUUCAACUCCACCCAGUGGUGCCUCUGUGUUAAGUGGUGUAGGCUAAGCCUGCAUGGGGUUCACUCCAUACUUGUAAAAGUAAUGGAAAAAACUUUUUUUAAACUUCCACGUCUGAAAAGAAUCCCAAAAUAUUUUGCAAAAGUCAUGAAAUUCUAUCUUUAGUCAUAUGAAGGGGCACGACGGUGAGAAAACGUACAUUUGAAUAAAAAUCUGAAUUUUUUCUAUUUGGAGUCAUAAGACAUUCUAACGGCAGCAGUUGACACGGUACAGUGGUGUAGUGGUUAGCACUCUCGCUUCCCAGACAGAUGCCUCGGGUUCAACUCCACCCAGUGGCACCUCGGUGUUAGGUGGUGUAGGCUAAGCCUGCAUGGGGUUCACUCCAUACUUGUAAAAGUAAUGGAAAAAACUUUUUUUAAACUUCCACGUCUGAAAAGAAUCCCAAAAUAUUUUGCAAAAGUCAUGAAAUUCUAUCUUUAGU